rnacentral:rRNA from 1 species
AACGAACGCUGGCGGCAUGCCUAACGCAUGCAAGUCGAACGAGACCUUCGGGUCUAGUGGCGCACGGGUGCGUAACGCGUGGGAAUCUGCCCUUGGGUUCGGAAUAACUCGCCGAAAGGCGUGCUAAUACCGGAUGAUGACGUAAGUCCAAAGAUUUAUCGCCCAAGGAUGAGCCCGCGUUGGAUUAGCUAGUUGGUGAGGUAAAGGCUCACCAAGGCGACGAUCCAUAGCUGGUCUGAGAGGAUGAUCAGCCACACUGGGACUGAGACACGGCCCAGACUCCUACGGGAGGCAGCAGUGGGGAAUAUUGGACAAUGGGCGAAAGCCUGAUCCAGCAAUGCCGCGUGAGUGAUGAAGGCCUUAGGGUUGUAAAGCUCUUUUACCCGGGAUGAUAAUGACCGUACCGGGAGAAUAAGCUCCGGCUAACUCCGUG